CGUUUGAGAUUUGAGAGGGGCUGCUCCUAGUACGAGAGGACCGGAGUGGACGAACCUCUGGUGUUCCGGUUGUCACGCCAGUGGCAUUGCCGGGUAGCUAUGUUCGGGAAAGAUAACCGCUGAAAGCAUCUAAGCGGGAAACUUGCCUCAAGAUGAGAUCUCACUGGAACCUUGAGUUCCCUGAAGGGCCGUCGAAGACUACGACGUUGAUAGGUUGGGUGUGUAAGCGCUGUGAGGCGUUGAGCUAACCAAUACUAAUUGCCCGUGAGGCUUGACCAUAUAACACCCAAGCAAUU
rnacentral:rRNA from 1 species